GACGAACGCUGGCGGCGUGCUUAACACAUGCAAGUCGAGCGGUAAGGCCUUUCGGGGUACACGAGCGGCGAACGGGUGAGUAACACGUGGGUGAUCUGCCCUGCACUUCGGGAUAAGCCUGGGAAACUGGGUCUAAUACCGGAUAUGACCUCCUAUCGCAUGGUGGGUGGUGGAAAGAUUUAUCGGUGCAGGAUGGGCCCGCGGCCUAUCAGCUUGUUGGUGGGGUAAUGGCCUACCAAGGCGACGACGGGUAGCCGACCUGAGAGGGUGACCGGCCACACUGGGACUGAGACACGGCCCAGACUCCUACGGGGGGCAGCAGUGGGGAAUAUUGCACAAUGGGCGAAAGCCUGAUGCAGCGACGCCGCGUGAGGGAUGACGGCCUUCGGGUUGUAAACCUCUUUCAGCAGGGACGAAGCGCAAGUGACGGUACCUGCAGAAGAAGCACCGGCUAACUACGUG
rnacentral:rRNA from 1 species